AAUGAACGCUGGCGGCAGGCCUAACACAUGCAAGUCGAACGGAUCCUUCGGGAUUAGUGGCGGACGGGUGAGUAACGCGUGGGAACAUACCCUUUGGUACGGAAUAGCCUCGGGAAACUGGGAGUAAUACCGUAUGUGGUCGAGAGACGAAAGAUUUAUCGCCAAAGGAUUGGCCCGCGUUGGAUUAGGUAGUCGGUGGGGUAAUGGCCUACCAAGCCGACGAUCCAUAGCUGGUUUGAGAGGAUGAUCAGCCACACUGGGACUGGGACACGGCCCAGACUCCUACGGGAGGCAGCAGUGGGGAAUCUUAGACAAUGGGGGAAACCCUGAUCUAGCCAUGCCGCGUGAUCGAUGAAGGCCUUAGGGUUGUAAAGAUCUCUCAGGUGGGAAGAUAAUGACUGUACCACCAGAAGAAGCCCCGGCUAACUCCGUGCCAGCCGCCGCGGUAAAAC
rnacentral:rRNA from 1 species